UACGUAGGGAGCAAGCGUUGUCCGGAAUCAUUGGGCGUAAAGCGCGCGUAGGUGGCCAUGUAAGUCCGCUGUGAAAGUCAAAGGCUCAACCUUUGAAAGCCGGUGGACACUGCAUGGCUAGAGUACGGAAGAGGCGAGUGGAAUUCCUGGUGUAGCGGUGGAAUGCGCAGAUAUCAGGAGGAACACCAAUAGCGAAGGCAGCUCGCUGGGACGUUACUGACACUGAGGCGCGAAAGCGUGGGGAGCGAACAGG
rnacentral:rRNA from 1 species